rnacentral:rRNA from 1 species
CCCUUAGAUGUUCUGGGCUGCACGCGUGCUACACUGAUAUUGCCAAUAUGUCAUUCUUAUCCGAAAUGGAUUGGGUAAUCAAGUAAUGAAAUUUCAUGCUUGGAAUCGGUAAUUGCAAUUUUAUCGUGAACGAGGAAUUCCUAGUAAGCACUAGUCAUCAGCUAAUGUUGAUUAUGUCCCUGCCCUUUGCACACACCGCCCGUCGCUACUACUGAUUGGGUGUUCAAGUGAGAUGCUUAGACCCUUGUUGCAUGGUUCAUUAUUGUGCUCCGAAAGGAAAAAGUUUCAAGCUUGAGUGUCUAGAGGAAGUAAAAGUCGUAACA